CUUGUGCAAUCACCAUUCUUGUUAGGAGCAACAAUCCAACAGCAUUUGGAAGUUAUACGCGAAAAAUAUCCGUCGGAAGUUGAAGAGAUAAUGCGAAGCCUCUAUGUUGAUGACAUUAUCUCAGGUGGAGAAACCAGAGACGGUGUACAAAAAUUGAAAGGAACGGUGAAGGAGAUAUUUGGACAGGCGAAAUUUGACCUACACAAAUGGCAUUCUAACGUGUGUGAACUGGAGGAAAACGACGAGCAAACACCUACCGUUCAGAGUUAUGCAAAAGAUCAACUUGGGGUGAAACCAGGUGAAACCAAAAUGCUUGGACUUCCAUGGGAUAAAGUGGAAGACACAAUUUCAAUAUCCUUUCCCCAGAAAACAGCAGCGACUACCAAAAGGGAGAUAUUACGCUUCCUUGCCUCAAUCUACGACCCUCUGGGACUUGCCUCACCCGUCGCACUCGUAGGGAAGCUCAUUUACAGAGAGGUGUGUGAUCAAAAGUUGCCGUGGGAUAAGGAGAUACCUCAACAACUGUCGACUCGUUGGCAGAAGUUUCAGCAAAACCUUCCCGAGAAACUAGAUUUCCCACGAAGCCUGACCAGCCUUGAGGAGCCAAUCGAAGCCGUAGAUCUACAUACGUUCGGAGAUUCCAGCAAAGACGGAACAUCAGCAACUGUGUACGCUGUGGUACAUCAAAAGUCUGGCAUCAGCCAAGGAUUGAUCGCAGCAAAAUCCAGAUUGGCGAAGAAAGAGUUGACCAUCCCGCGACUUGAACUUGUUUCGGCACAUAUGGCAACUAACUUGGUCGAGAAUGCAAGAAAUGCGCUUGGUGGAUACCCUGUCAGAUCAGUCACCGGAUGGUUGGACAGUACAGUGGCCCUGUACUGGAUCAAAGGACAUGGCGCCUACAAGCAAUUUGUUUCAAACAGAGUCAAGAAGAUUAACGCCAAGGAAUAUAUCAAUUGGAGACAUGUGAGAACGGAUGAGAACCCAGCCGACCUGGGAAGCCGAGGA